AGUGAACGCUGGCGGUAGGCCUAACACGUGCAAGUCGAACGGCAGCACAGUAAGAGCUUGCUCUUACGGGUGGCGAGUGGCGGACGGGUGAGGAAUACAUCGGAAUCUACUUUUUCGUGGGGGAUAACGUAGGGAAACUUACGCUAAUACCGCAUACGACCUACGGGUGAAAGCAGGGGAUCUUCGGACCUUGCGCGAUUGAAUGAGCCGAUGUCGGAUUAGCUAGUUGGCGGGGUAAAGGCCCACCAAGGCGACGAUCCGUAGCUGGUCUGAGAGGAUGAUCAGCCACACUGGAACUGAGACACGGUCCAGACUCCUACGGGAGGCAGCAGUGGGGAAUAUUGGACAAUGGGCGCAAGCCUAAUCCAGCCAUACCGCGUGGGUGAAGAAGGCCUUCGGGUUGUAAAGCCCUUUUGUUGGGAAAGAAAAGCAGCAGGUUAAUACCCCGCUGUUCUGACGGUACCCAAAGAAUAAGCACCGGCUAACUUCGUG
rnacentral:rRNA from 1 species